UACAGAGGUCUCAAGCGUUGUUCGGAUUCAUUGGGCGUAAAGGGUGCGUAGGUGGCGCGCUAAGUCAGGUGUGAAAUCUCGGGCUUAACUCGGAAAGGUCAACUGAUACUGUGCGACUAGAGUGCAGAAGGGGCAACUGGAAUUCUCGGUGUAGCGGUGAAAUGCGUAGAUAUCGAGAGGAACACCUGCGGCGAAGGCGGGUUGCUGGGCUGACACUGACGCUGAACUGCGAAAGCUAGGGGAGCGAACGGG
rnacentral:rRNA from 1 species